ACUCUGCAGGGCUAACGAUACUCUCAUCAUCAUCCUAGGUGUUCCACAUGUGCCUGCUGUUGUGGAUUUGACUGGAAGGAAGAGGAGCAUGGGCAAAGAGGAGAGAACCAAGGAAACUAAUGAUGAACCCUGGAAUUCCCCUCAGAGACGCGAAGAUGCUGUGCAAUGAUUCUCUAACUACAUAAGGAAAGAAGAGAUAACCAGCUGCUGAUCCUAACUGCAGAGAGAGAGAGAAAGAGAGCACAGAAGGAGACGUUUUUCUCUAUUACACUGUUUUAUCUCUCUAGCCCAGACUGGCUUCACAAGAGAGUUCCAGAGGAUCCUGAAAACUGAAGAAGAGUAACAACUCACCAAACAAGAUCCAAGAAAGGGGGAAGAAACUCAGGACUGCAAAACACCUGGAGGGAGAGAGAUGACAAAAUGAAAAGGAAAGCUACAGAAAAUUAUCUCACUGGGAGAAAAUAAUUGUAAAAGAUACAUCUGACAAAGGACUCAGAACUGAGGUAUAUAAAGAACUCUUUCAACUCAGCAAAAUUAACAAAAAAUUGGGCAAAGAAGAUAUA